AUCAAUGCGGUGCGGGUGGACGGGACUCUGGCCCUCGACCGGCUCAGCCACGACGUCAACCUGACCAUCCUGCUCAGCCUGUUCGAGCAGGAGAUCAUGUCGUACGUGCCGGCGGUGGAGUCGGGCAGGGGGGCGAGCGCCGCCCGCAGCCCCCACAGCUCGCCGAUGGCGUCCCCCGGGCUGGGGCGGCACCGCGUGCCCGGGCCCCACAAGCGCGACUUCGAGGCCAAGCUGCGCAACUUCUACCGCAAGCUGGAGAGCAAGGGCUACGGCCAGGGGCCCGCCAAGU
rnacentral:lncRNA from 1 species